AUGAUAGUCUUAGUAACAAAAUGUGGAAAGUUUAUGCUGCAUUUCAGGUUUCAAGGAGAAGGGCAUCUAACAGUUUUUCUCCAAGGCUUGCUCUUUUGUCUCAGUUGUUUUCCACUCUUCCAUCUCUGUUUCAGCCCUCAGCCUAAUCUCCUUUUCAGACAGUUUCCCUCUGAUUUUCCAUUCAAUUUUUUCCUCUUGCCACUUCAAAAUUCUCGCUGUGCAUUGUUUUUUUUUUUUCCCUUCAAAGGAUUCUUCACCAUAGAUGGACUUGUCAAAUUUGACCUGAAACAACUCCAGACUGUGACAAAUGUAAAGUGGAUUCCACUAGUUUCCCUCAGGUUGCUUCGGAACAUUAAUUCUGUAGCUAAAACAUGUGCUAGAUAA
rnacentral:lncRNA from 1 species